rnacentral:SRP_RNA from 1 species
UCGUGCUAAACGGGGAGCUAGCGGUGCCCUGUACCCGCAAUCCGCUACAGCGGGGUUGAAUUCCUGCCUGAGGUUUAACCAAAGAGAAUCUGCUUUUGUUAAGCGGUGUUGAUAUCAGGGCCUUGCGCGACGGAGAGCUAUGAACCCCGUCAGGUCCGGAAGGAAGCAGCGGUAAGUAGAUAUAUCCGGGUGCCGCAGGUAUACUCUGAGGGAGCAGGCUGACAGAGGUAAGGCUCCAAGGUUAGAACGAGGGCAGGUGCACGG